rnacentral:rRNA from 1 species
AGAGUUUGAUCAUGGCUCAGAACGAACGCUGGCGGCGUGCUUAACACAUGCAAGUCGAGUGCGCGGCUGUAGCAAUACAGCUGGCGCACGGCGCACGGGUGCGUAACACGUGGGUAACCUGCCCUUUGAUGGGGAAUAACCCCGCGAAAGCGGGGCUAAUACCGCAUAAGAUCCGCAAGGAUGAAAGCUGUGAGGCGUCG